rnacentral:sRNA from 1 species
GUCACCACCAGCUUCCUGAAGAGCAGAGUGUUGCUCUGUUUCUGUUUCUGUCUUUUAAAGAACAGACCUGAGUAAGGAUAUUUGGAAGCCAGUAUAGCCCCUACUUGAUGUGUUUCGCCUCUCCCUCUCUCCUCAGACCUUCCUGGAGCAGUCGAAAACCCGAUUUAACAAGAACUACAAGGGGAUGAGUCUAUCCAAAAUCACCACCACCGUGGGCCUAAACAUCGGCACUGUGGAUGUGGGAAAGGCUCGGCUCAUGUUCUGGGACUUAGGAGGGCAGGAAGAGCUGCAGUCUUUGUGGGACAAGUAUUAUGCGGAGUGUCACGGCGUCAUCUACGUCAUUGACUCCACCGACGAGGAGAGGCUGGCUGAGUCCAAGCAGGCGUUUGAGAAGGUGGUGACCAGCGAGGCGCUGUGCGGUGUCCCCGUCUUGGUGCUGGCCAACAAGCAGGAUGUGGAGGUGAGCCCCACCCCUGCCUCCCGCAGCAGCUUCCCGAGUCCCCAGCCUCCCCCACAGCAAGGGGAGCAGGUGUGCACCCAGACACCCCAGGCCCAGUGACUGCCCAGGGGGUACAGAGCCAUUCUCAAGGCCU